GAUGAAGAACGUAGCGAAAUGCGAUAAGUAGUGUGAAUUGCAGAAUUCAGUGAAUCAUCGAAUCUUUGAACGCACAUUGCGCCCGCCAGUAUUCUGGCGGGCAUGCCUGUUCGAGCGUCAUUUCAACCAUCAAGCCCCCGGCUUGUGUUGGGGACCUGCGGCUGCCGCAGGCCCUGAAAACCAGUGGCGGGCUCGCUAGUCACUCCGAGCGUAGUAAUACAUCUCGCUCAGGGCGUGCUGCGGGUUCCGGCCGUUAAAAGCCUUAUUUACCCAAGGUUGACCUCGGAUCAGGUAGGAAGACCCGCUGAACUUAAGCAUAUCAUAAGCGGAGA
rnacentral:misc_RNA from 1 species